rnacentral:sRNA from 1 species
GCUGGGUGUGGUGCCGCACACCUGGAACCCCAGCAGCUCAGGAGGCUGAGGCAGGAGGAGCAUGAGUUCAAAGCCAGCCUCAGCAACUUAGAGAGGUCCUCAGCAACUCAGUGAGACCCUGUCUCUA